rfam:Prevotella buccae ATCC 33574 genomic scaffold SCAFFOLD1, whole genome shotgun sequence.
UGGAAGCUAAGGGGGUGCUUCGUCAUGUGGCGAGGCUGAGAUCAUACCCAUUGAACUUGAUACGGAUAAUGCCGGCGCAAGGACUAAGGUAAUCCCUUUUU